UACGAAGGGGGCUAGCGUUGUUCGGAUUUACUGGGCGUAAAGCGCACGUAGGCGGAUCGUUAAGUCGGGGGUGAAAUCCUGGAGCUCAACUCCAGAACUGCCUUCGAUACUGGCGAUCUCGAGUCCGGAAGAGGUGAGUGGAACUCCUAGUGUAGAGGUGGAAUUCGUAGAUAUUAGGAAGAACACCAGUGGCGAAGGCGGCUCACUGGUCCGGUACUGGACGCUGAGGUGGCGAAAGCGUGGGGAGCAAACAGGG
rnacentral:rRNA from 1 species